rnacentral:lncRNA from 1 species
UUAAAUUUAGUGUCUUGAAUUCAUACUUUUGGUGACUAUUUAAAGACUCCUUGUUCGUCACUGCACAAAAAAGGGUUAGCAAUCAAAUGAUAUAUUUGUUUAUGGCAAUUGAUACUUAAUAACUCAUAACAUGCAAAGAUAAUGCAUCAGGGUCAUCUUAUUGUUAGAAGCAUGAACAGUGAGCUUUAAAAGACUAUCCAACUUAAAUCCAUAAGAGAGGAUCUAAUAGAAUGGAUUUGGAUUCAAACAUGAGAGGGUUAUGUUCAUCAUCUCGCCAUUAAAAUUCAUUAGGGGUUUAAACUUCAAAAAUAGAAAAGUGGGAUAAGGAUUCAAUAAAUUUUAAUGGUGAGAUGAUCAACGUGAUAAAAAAUCCUAAUAAAAUCUCAUUAAAGUUUUUUUCUAACGAUAAAUAGGAACAGCCAGUGAGUAUCGAAAUGUUAAAAAUAGAGCUAGCACCAUCAAAUCUACGUCUACCAUGUCCAGAAACAGAUAAUGAUAAGAAUUACUACAACUAAAAAAGACUUACCUCUUGUUGUUCCCUGAUUCAAUGUAUUACACAAAAAAAGAAUUCUCUUCAUGAUGUCCUUUAGUUUGCACAUUCUUCAUCUAUCUAAUACUUAAUAUCAUCUUACAUAAAAGAAUACAUAAAAACCAAAAAUCAUACUUAAUAGUUAACGUCAUCAUAAUCACAACAAACAUGUGAAACUGAAAUAUGAAAUAAAUUGAUCCAAACACCUACAAAAUGACCAAGGCUCUAAUAUGGAAAGAAAUCACACCACUUUUAUU